UGGCAAUUUACAGCUGCCCCCGUUAUCCCGAGGGGACCCUCUGGGCUGCGGGACCCUCUGGUCUGCGGGACACUCUGGACUGGGGGACACUCUGGACUGGGGGACACUCUGGACUGGGGGACCCUCAGGGCUGCGGGACACUCUGGUCUGCGGGACACUCUGGACUGGGGGACACUCUGGGCUGGGGGACCCUCAGGGCUGCGGGACGCUCUGGUCUGCGGGACACUCUGGGCUGGGGGACACUCUGGACUGGGGGACCCUCAGGGUUGCGGGACGCUCUGGUCUGCGGGACCCUCGGGACUGGGGGACACUCUGGACUGGGGGACCCUCAGGGCUGCGGGACGCUCUGGUCUGCGGGACACUCUGGACUGGGGGACACUCUGGACUGGGGGACCCUCAGGGUUGCGGGACGCUCUGGACUGGGGGACCCUCAGGGUUGCGGGACACUCUGGACUGGGGGACACUCUGGGCUGGGGGACCCUCAGGGUUGCGGGACGCUCUGGUCUGCGGGACCCUCGGGACUGGGGGACACUCUGGACUGGGGGACCCUCAGGGCUGCGGGACGCUCUGGACUGGGGGACGCUCUGGGCUGUGGGACCUUCAGGGCUGGGGGACCCUCAGGGCUGCGGGACGCUCUGGACUGCUGACCCCUCACCCACACCCAGCCUUUUCUGCCCCAUCCGCCCUCUGUGCAUAACCUGGGGGUACAACAGGCUCGCGCUGUGGCUUCAGUUGUGCUUCCGUGUCCCGGGGGCUUCCAACUGGGUCCUGCAGGAGCUGAGACAAUCUCCCUGCUUCGCUUUCAUCCUCCGGGCGUGUCCUGCUUCUUCCCGAGAGAAGCCUCUAAGAUAUGACUUGUACAGGAAUCAUACGCUCUCUCCUCUCUCUGUCUCCCAGGCUGGAGUGCAGGCGCGAUCUGGGCUCACUGCAGCCUCCACCCCCUGGCUCAAGCCUCCCACCCCAGCCUCCCAAGUAGCUGGGAUUACAGGCCCUUUAUAGAAAACCCUGAGGUUUUCCAAAGAAGGGGUGAUUCUGCUUCAAAACUGCAACCCUGUCUGAGUUUCCAGCCUGCAAACACCAGAUUCAAAGCUGCUUCAGAACUGCAACCCUACCUGAGUUUCCAGCCCGCAAACACCAGAUUCAAAGCUGCAGCAUCAACUCCUCCCUGAGUCUUCAGCCUGACAGGCUGCUCUACAGAUUUCAGAUUUGCCAGCCCCUACAAUUCUGUGAAUCAGUUCCUUAAAAUAAACAUUUCUCUCUAUAUUUAUGCAAAUGGAUAAAUGAUGGAUAGCUGUAGAUUUCACUACAUAGAUAUAGAUAUAUAGAUCAAGGAGAUCUCCUAUUGGUUCAAUAAAUCUAUUGGUUUUGUUUCUUUGAAGAGCCCUAAACAGUAUUUUUGCUUACUUUUUAAAAUUAGUAUAUUCACCUAUUUCUUACUGAGAAAAUUUACUUAAUAAAAUGAUUAGCCCUUUAAAUGUCUCAUGAUGCUAGUAUUUUUCUCAUCGUUUGUGGUUUGCUUUUUUGUUUUCCAACAAUAGAAGUGUUUACAUUUUUAGAAAGCAUUUAUUUCUUUGAAUUUGUUCCUGUACAGCUAUUCCCCGUUACAAGAUACAGACAUAUUCCUCUGUAUAUUUCCUUCUAAGUAUUGUUUUAUUUGUUACAUAUAAUUUAGUAAUCUGUGGAAUUUACUUUGAUAUAUGAUAGAA
rnacentral:lncRNA from 1 species